GACCAAGCUACUAAGGGCAGGUGGUGGAUGCCUUGGCGUCGGGAGGCGAUGAAGGACGUGGUAAGCUGCGAUAAGCUCCGGUGAGGUGCAAACAACCCGUGACCCGGAGAUGUCCGAAUGGGGAAACCCGGCGGGGGUCAUGCCCCGUCACUGCCGGCUGAAUCCAUAGGCCGGUCAGAGCGAACCGAGGGAACUGAAACAUCUCAGUACCUCGAGGAAGAGAAAGCGAAUGCGAUUCCGCAAGUAGCGGCGAGCGAAAGCGGAACAGCCCAAACCGUCGGCAUGCCAAGCCCGCGAGCGUUGUGCCGGCGGGGUAGAGGGGCCUGUCUUCACUGGGGCGCGGCCCAAGUGGGGGCUCGGAGUGGAUCCUAGCAGAACAGCUCUGGAAAGGCUGGCCAUAGAAGGUGAUAGCCCUGUAAGCGAAAGGAUCCUCUCUCCCUUCUGGCAGGUACCCAAGUAGUGCGGGACACGUGAAAUCCUGUGCGAAUCCGGGGAGACCACUCCCUAAGGCUAAAUACUUCCCGACGACCGAUAGCGGACAAGUACCGUGAGGGAAAGGUGAAAAGAACCCCUGGCGGGGAGUGAAAUAGAACCUGAAACCACUUGCCUACAAGCGGUCGGAGGCGGACCUGGAGCUUCGGCUCCAGGCGAGCUGACGGCGUGCCUUUUGCAUAAUGAGCCGGCGAGUUACUGAGUGCAGCAAGGUUAAGCGUCUAAGACGUGGAGCCGUAGCGAAAGCGAGUCUGAACAGGGCGUUGAGUUGCACUAAGUAGACCCGAAGCCGAGUGAUCUAUCCAUGGCCAGGGUGAAGCGCGUGUAAAAGCGCGUGAAGGCCCGAACCCACUAGAGUUGAAAAUCUAGGGGAUGAGCUGUGGAUGGGGGUGAAAGGCCAAUCAAACUCGGAAAUAGCUGGUUCUCCCCGAAAUGCUUUUAGGAGCAGCCUCGGGAGAUUGUGUGACGGAGGUAGAGCACUGAUUGGACUAGGGGCCCUACCAGGCUACCAAACCCAUUCAAACUCCGAAUGCCGUACACACCUACCCCGGGAGUGAGGCUACGGGCGAUAAGGUCCGUGACCGAGAGGGUAAGAACCCAGAUCACCAGCUAAGGCCCCUAAGUUCAGGCUAAGUGUGGUUAAGGAUGUGGGGUUGUUCAAACAGCCAGGAUGUUGGCUUAGAAGCAGCCAUCAUUUAAAGAGUGCGUAAUUGCUCACUGGUCUAAUGACCCUGCGCCGAUAAUUAUCGGGACUCAAGCCUGACGCCGAAGCUGUGAAUUCCCGUAAGGGACUGGUAGGGGAGCGUUCCGUUGUAGGUUGAAGCGGAAUCGACAAGAUUCCGUCGACGAACCGGAAGUGAGAAUGCCGGCAUGAGUAGCGAUAAAACGGGUGAGAAACCCGUUCACCGUAAACCUAAGGUUUCCUGAGGAAGGCUAAUCCGCUCAGGGUCAGUCGGAUCCUAAGCCCAGGCCGAACGGCGUAGGCGAUGGGAAACAGGUCAACAUUCCUGUACCACUGGCAAGACGUUUGAGCUAUGGGGUGACGCAGGAGCUCAAGGUCCGCGCACUAUCGGAUGUGCGUCUAAGCCCGUAGGGGGAGGUUCCAGGCAAAUCCGGAGCCUCAUCAACCCCGAGAGGCGAUGGUGAGUCCCCUUCGGGGGGCGAAGUGGCCCCAGGCAAGCUGCCGAGAAAAACCUCUAUGCGAGUCUUGUCGGUGUCCGUACCGCAAACCGACACAGGUAGGUGGGGUGAGAAACCUAAGGUGCUCGAGUGAGUUCUCGGGAAGGAACUCGGCAAAAUUACCCCGUAACUUCGGAAGAAGGGGUGCCUCCAGAGGAUAGCUCCUCGCGGGCGAAAGUAUGGAGGCCGCAGAGAAUCGGCCCAAGCGACUGUUUACUAAAAACACAGGACUCUGCUAAGCCGAUGAGGCGAUGUAUAGGGUCUGACACCUGCCCGGUGCCGGAAGGUUAAGGGGAGGGGUUAGCCGCAAGGCGAAGCCCUGAGCCGAAGCCCCGGUAAACGGCGGCCGUAACUAUAACGGUCCUAAGGUAGCGAAAUUCCUUGUCGGGUAAGUUCCGACCUGCACGAAUGGUGUAACGAUUUGGGCGCUGUCUCCCCGAGAAGCUCGGCGAAAUUGAAGCGGCGGUGAAGAUACCGUCUACCCGCGACUGGACAGAAAGACCCCGUGGACCUUUACUGCAGCUUGAUAUUGGGUCUUGGCGUCUCAUGUGUAGGAUAGGUGGGAGGCUUUGAAGCGUGGGCGCUAGCCUGCGUGGAGCCAACCUUGAAAUACCACCCUUGAGUCGUUGGGAUUCUAACCUCGCGCCGUGAAUCCGGCGCAGGGACAGUGUCUGGUGGGCAGUUUGACUGGGGCGGUCGCCUCCAAAAAAGUAACGGAGGCGCGCAAAGGUUCCCUCAGCGCGGUUGGUAAUCGCGCGCGGAGUGUAAAGGCAGAAGGGAGCUUGACUGCGAGACCGACGGGUCGAGCAGGUGCGAAAGCAGGCCUUAGUGAUCCGGCGGCUCCGAGUGGAAGGGCCGUUGCUCAACGGAUAAAAGGUACCCCGGGGAUAACAGGCUGAUCCCCCUCGAGAGUCCACAUCGACGGGGGGGUUUGGCACCUCGAUGUCGGCUCAUCGCAUCCUGGGGCUGGAGAAGGUCCCAAGGGUUUGGCUGUUCGCCAAUUAAAGCGGUACGUGAGCUGGGUUUAGAACGUCGUGAGACAGUUCGGUCCCUAUCCAUCGUGGGCGGAGGAGACUUGAGGGGAGCUAUCCCUCGUACGAGAGGACUGGGAUGGACCAACCUCUAGUGUACCGGUUGUCGCGCCAGCGGCAUCGCCGGGUAGCUAUGUUGGGCAUGGAUAAGCGCUGAAAGCAUCUAAGCGCGAAGUCAACCCCAAGAUGAGGUCUCCCGGACGCAAGUCCCUGAAGGCCCCUCCUAGACUAGGAGGUUAAUAGGCCACAGGUGUAAGCGCAGUAAUGCGUUCAGCCGAGUGGUACUAAUCGGCCGUGCGGCUUGGUCGG
rnacentral:rRNA from 1 species